rnacentral:rRNA from 1 species
UACGUAGGGUGCGAGCGUUGUCCGGAAUUACUGGGCGUAAAGCGCACGUAGGCGGCUUUCUAAGUCGGAGGUGAAAUCCUGGAGCUCAACUCCAGAACUGCCUUCGAUACUGGAGAGCUUGAGUCCGGGAGAGGUGAGUGGAACUGCGAGUGUAGAGGUGAAAUUCGUAGAUAUUCGGAAGAACACCAGUGGCGAAGGCGACUUACUGGUCCGGAACUGACGCUGAGGUGCGAAAGCGUGGGGAGCAAACAGG